rnacentral:rRNA from 1 species
AGUGACGAUAGCCUAGGAGAUACACCUGUACCCAUGCCGAACACAGAAGUUAAGUCCUAGAACGCCGGAAGUAGUUGGGGGUUGCCCCCUGUGAGAUAGGGAAGUCGCUUAGCU